rnacentral:rRNA from 1 species
UACGUAGGGUGCGAGCGUUAAUCGGAAUUACUGGGCGUAAAGCGUGCGCAGGCGGUUUUGUAAGCCAGGUGUGAAAUCCCCGGGCUCAACCUGGGAAUGGCAUUUGGGACUGCAAGGCUGGAGUGCGGCAGAGGAGACUGGAAUUCCUGGUGUAGCAGUGAAAUGCGUAGAUAUCAGGAGGAACACCGAUGGCGAAGGCAGGUCUCUGGGCUGACACUGACGCUCAUGCACGAAGCGUGGG